CGUCGUUUUCGAGGUGGUACAAAUAGUGGGUCUUGCUCCAGGUGUGCCAACAGCUGAUGACAACAACAACACUCCACCAAGAGCAGCGGUAAGUGCCACUCUCUCGGCGCCAGAGACACACACUUGUCUCCUUCAUUGUCGAGAAAUAAGCAAUCAUUCAAGAUAAACGACAUGAGCCCAGUAGCGUGGAGAAGAAAAAGAGGACUUGGGGAGAAAUUAGGGCGGCAUUCUACUCCAUGGAUCCUGUACAGAAACCCCACGCCAAAAAAAAGAAAAAAAAAGAUAGUGGCAUCAACAUCCUUGACAGAUUUCCUACUAUAAAAGUUGUGUCAGGGAGAUGGUCACAAUCCAGGUGGGAAACAAUGACAUCUUGAACAAUUGACACAUUCUGAGGGGGUGACACAAGACCUCUCUGGGUUAUGACCAUGGGUUGGUGCCAGUGAUGCUAACAAUGAAGUAAGCAGCACUAACAGCAUCCUCUAAGGAAAGGCGGUCCAUUGAGCAGACAUUAUACAAGACAGUCAUCAGAGUAUGAGUCUAUAUGUAGAUAUUGGUCAAGUUGAAGGAACUUUUAUUGUGGUACUUGGAUCUCUAUAUCACAGAGAAGGUCAAAUUCGACCCGUUAAUGUAUAGAAACUCGCCGAUGGAACUUGGUUCAGCUAUACAGUGGUGAGUCACCUCUGGUCCACUACAGGAUGAAGACAGUCUUGCUUGAUACUUUGUUUUUUAUAAGAAGUGUGUAUUAAAAAUUAGUACUGUACUGUACAUGAGCAUGUAAGGCUAUUUUGAUGAGUGCAUGUGAGGCUGUUUUGACAUCACACCUAUUAUGGUGGUGUUUCACCCAUCGUGUAUCCAGGUCAUGAAGAUUGGUGUAAUUUACAAAUCUGUUGAACCACCAGUUGUUGGCCAUGCAUGUCUCUCCAGAUGUAGCCCCCCCCCCCCUCUUGCUGUUGUAAAUCACUCCAUAAACAUUUGCCUUUUCUUGGAUGGUUGCAUGUGACACUGCGUUUGGUCGUCAGUCCACAUGGAUAAUAAUUUAUCCACCAUCUCCAUUUUGUGGUCUCUGGCACUUGAUACACUUGUUGAAGUCACUGAGGGUCAAAGACUUGCCACUUAUCCUGAAUUUUUCUGUAUUCUUGCUAAUUGUAGCCAGAGAAGAUGCACAAAGUUUAAAACUUUUCUAAUUUCAGUUGGACUGUGCUCACUCCUUGUGUCCCUUAAUAAUAUGUGGUUUCUGCUACAAACUCAUGGCUUUGCAAACUUUUUUCACCACUGGCAUGCUACUAAGUCCAGAACAAGCAGGUAGCUUUCCACUCAUGUUCUCUGAGGUUGAUUCAUUCGUGUGAAAUGAAAAAGAACUCUCACUUAUAGACUGCACCAUCAAGCGAAAAUGUGUCUUAGUAUAUCCUCAAUGGCUGAAUGUUGUCGCAACACAGCUUAUAGUAGUGGCCACAGGAAAUUUAAAUGCAGUGUGCAGAAUAUCAUUUGUUGUAAGUUAAAAUGGGACUUCAUUUUGUGGGACUUGCUAUAUAUUUGAAAUACUGUAAGCUGAUAAGUGGUGAAAUGGUAAAAUUAAAAACAUUUCAAUUUACCUGCCGGUACCUACCUAAUUUACCUAGUGGCCAACCCACCCAGAGAAGACCAUGCUGUGGGAAGGAGGCCAGUGACCUGUGUAGGAUAUCUCCAUUAUUCUUGACAGUCUUUUCAAGACUAUUUUGAAGCCCAGUACUGCUCUUAGUUCCUCAGCUUGGGCUGGUGGACUGUUCCAUAGUUCUACCACCCUCUGUGUGAAGAAGUACAGUAUUUCUUUAUACCGGGUAUUCAUCCUGCAUGGCACCUUGAUGAGCUUGGUGGUGUGUGAUACCCCCAAAUUUAUCUGGGUUUAUGUCUUUUAUCCUUUCAAGAUUUUGAAGGUUUCAAUUAGAUCCACCCUAUUGUGUCUUACCUGAAGAGUUGUUAGUACUAAAGCCCUCAGUCUACUUGGGUGAUUAAAAUAGUUCAGGAAUACAGUAAUCAUUUAUACUGUACUCUGUCUUGCAUCUUAUAUAGGGAAGUUAUGCCCAAGUAAAUAAGUGUUAGAAAUACUGUAAGUGUUAGGGUCGAGGAACUACCGAGAACAUUCAUCCAUUUAUACACCAUUGUUGACAUAUUGAGCUGCCUUAAUAGCCUGACCCCCUACAAGGGUUACAGUCGAGACCACCGAGAGAGAGAAGGCCUGUCAGCCUGCUUGUGGUGUCAUCAUUUGUGGUUACACCGAGACUACUCAUGUAGCAGAAUAUCACUGCUGCACCGUUAGUUAUUUGUGAUUUAACAUACUACAGUACUAUGUACUUGGUACUGAUUGUGCAGAUUUUAAGACAUUGUACUAUUGUCUGGAUAUAUUUAUUCAGUUCCAACUGAACUGCAUUAUAUUAUUAUGUGUGUGAAGAGAGAGGGAGAGAGAGCGACUACAAAUGAAAUACACCAUGGCUAAUGAGAUUUCAAUUUAUUUGCAAUAUAGACAUGAACAAAAUUUCAGAAUAAGCUGCAAGAAAUUUUUGAAAUGAAAAUGUUUACAUAUACUGUAUUUAGUUGAAUGUCUGAAUUGUUCUCUUUUUCCCAGAGUACCUUCUAUAUUCUCUGGAAUUAUUUAAUCUGCUACAAAAAGUAUUUAACAGUGCAUUAGUAGAGGCUCACACCAGCAUUUUUCAACCUUUUCUGUGCUAUGUCUACCAUUACAAAAGUCUUCCAGAAACAGAGCAUCAUCAUAUGCUGGAGCAUUUAGGGUGACAUCCAUUACCAAAUUUUGCUGGUUACUGACUUUACAAAAUUGGGAUGCUGCUUUAAAAUUUGUCACCAACAAUAUACUGUACAGUAUAAUUGUACAUAUAACAUGUGGGUACAAUAGAGAGCCUUGGCUGAUUCUUUUAAUGUAGUUGUGUGUUUCUGGUAAUUCAUCAACACUGUCUUCACAAAAUACAUUUUUUUUAUAAGACAGCAAUAACAACAGUAACCAGUUAAGUAAGUUAUUAAUGGAAGAACAUCCAAACAUUUUUCAGUAUCUUUCCAUUUCACACCUGUGGUUAUUUUAUGAUUUUAUGCAGAUCUCCAUAUCUCCACAAUUUUCUUCCUCAAUUAUUUUCAAAUUAACACACGGGUUAUUUUGAUUUUGCUUCAAUGGAGACAACAUUCUGAUUUUCUUUUCACAUUCAAAUACUGUAGUACAGUAAUUGUUGUACCGAUAUGUUGACGAUGCUGCAGAACCUGUCUGAAACUUCCCUGUUAAAACAUAGUCCAUUUUUAUCAUUGCAUAUGAGUUAUAUGUUUUAAGGCUGUACUAGUUUCUUUGAUAAGCUUUCCAGGGAUUUAUUUCAUAUCAUUCCAUAGUUUUAACCAGCUGUAGAAACUGUAGAGAAAUUUACAUUAAUCAUCAUUUACAUCAUUAGUCAAUCAAGUGGCAUGUGUGUUGUUCAGUCGACAACCUUUAAAUGGCGAGUUUACAUUAAAUACAGUCUACCAGACAUAAAAGAUCUUUAUAUAGUCAGCAACUUCUGCAAAGAAGGGCAAGCAGUGUUCUUUCUAAUGGGUAAUAAAGCUUGAAUAAUAUACUUAUUGAAAAAUUUAAGCACUUAAUUUAAAUUUUGCCUCUCAAGGUUAGAGGGAGAUAGGACCUCAGGAACAACUUAUACGAGUGUUUCAAAUAUGAAUUCGUAUCUAAAAUAUUAAUUUGUGUAGUGGCAAAUGGAGCUUCUGUGACCUCUGUCACUGGACCAUAAUUGCCAUUAAAACAACUGUGAGGACAAACUUUUUCGGAGGGAGAAUUGUGAACUCUUGGAACAAUCUGCCAGAGAGCAUUGUGAUGGCACCGAGUGUAAGCUCAUUCAAGGCCAGACUUGACCAACACUGGAGCAGGUUCUAAUAAAUUCAGGAGUCAUUGCUUGCCCAGUAUCUGCCAACAGUGCGUAUCAAAGAUGUGACUGACUGCCCAAGCGGUAUAUGAGCCGACCAGUGGCGAAGAGAAUAAAAGUAAAAGUGAGAAUUUCAUGGGUUUAUCUGUGUCUUUCUGACCUAGCCAGCUGUUCCUCACACAAUUCAACAUACUGUAGGUAUGUACAAAAUCAUACAUGAAAAAAAAGAGGCUUUGAACUUUGUGCUGGAUGUGGAUAAACAGUUGACAACUUUGAUGGUGCAGAAAAAAUAUAAUGCUUUCUUAUUGAUUGCAUUAUUUUAUGUUGAAACUCAUACAAUAUUACUCUAAAACCUAUCUUUUCUAAACCACCUUGUUUAGAAUGUCUUACACAAUUUCAGCUUUCAUACAUUUAGCAGAAUUUAUAUGGAUAAUAUCUUUUAUUUGAAUAUAACACUGCUCAGCCUAAAAACAAAAUCAGUUGUAACUGCCUCAAAACUUUCAAAUGCUGAGCCAACAACAUUUCCUCCUUUAUACUCAAACUUAGGCUUCAGAUGAAUUUUGUCUAACCUUAAUAUAACUGUCUUAUUAUCUGGUGAUAAGAUGUCAAACUUCUGCUUCAUAUUACAGGGUACAUUUUGUUUGACAAAGUAGUACUGUAACUGUUAAUGGCUGAGUAACUAUGGAUGAUUAAGUAUUUUGUAUUUCAUAGUACAAGUAUAGGCAGUCUGUAACCUGGAGGGGAGAAAUUAUAUAAUAAAGGAAAAUUAUCAUUAGCUGUGAUGGAUAUUGUAACCUGUUUAAAGUCAUUAAGUAGAUCUGUUCAGUUACAAAUGUCAGGGUGUGCAGAUGAUUAAAUGACUCGGUCUACAGAACUGUCAAAAAGAAAUAACUAAGUGUAACAGUAAUUACUCUGCUUGGGUUAGAUACAUGUUCUUCAAUGUCCAACUGAUGCAAGUUACAGAGAAGCCUUUCAAGAACAUUGGUGUCAAUCACAGACAAAAGGAUCUUAUAGGUUCCUAUGCUGUGUACUUCGACAUCAUUUGUAAAUACUUGUAUUGCACGACUAUAGUCAGUAGCCAAAGACAACACUACCUUGGGAUGUGGAAAUUAACAGUGCUACAUACUGUAUAAGAAAUGAUUUCUCACAUCUGAUAACAGUUCAAUACCUUGUGUCCAGAAAGAGUUUAAAAUUCCCUCCGUUGCCUGUAUUGCAGAUCAUCUUCAACACUUUUUUCCUUUGUAGAUUGGAGUGCAGACUCCUCCAGCUGAAUGCAUCUUGACUCUGGCGACAACUAUCUAGAACUUGUUGAUGCAGACAGAUAAGAGGGAGAGAGGGAAGAUGAGAAUGAAUUGCACCAUUGUGAAGGCUGGGCACCUUCAGCUUGGCUGUAAUUCUAGUGCUGGUCCUCUCAUCAAGGUAUUUUGUGUCCCACCUGAUGUCCAUAGGAUGGAAGUGCAGCUAUACAUAAUUAUAACAUAAAUAUUUAUAAUAAUGCAAAUAAUGAUACCAUAUACAGUAUGUGAACUGAACAAAAUACAGCUGCUCCUCAACUUACGAUGGGGUUAGGGACCCAAAUCAAGGUUGUAAGUCGAAAAUGCUUAAAUAAUACAUAGAAAAUCUAAAAUGGGUGUCUCUUUUUCUUCUCAGCACCAUAAAACUCUCACUUUUAA